GUAACAAUUGAUUAGCCACUAUCUUAAGACUUUGCUCCAUUAAGAUCUCAUCAUAGGUCGAUAACUCUCACCCUCUGGAUGUACAUCCCAACUUCUUGGCCAUCACUCUUGGCAUAUUGGCAUGCAGUCUUGGUACAGUGGCCUAUACCUAGGUUGAUAGGCAAUCAGCCAACACCCUUGCUAUAUCAGCCUGCAUAUUUGAUAUAUCACCCUGCAUUACUAGCAUAUGGGACUGCACCU
rnacentral:lncRNA from 1 species